CAACAUCUUGAAGGGUCUGCACAAAGGAGUAACGAAGUGUAAAAUUCUUAACCAUGAAUGUUCACGAUUUUGAAACCGGGACGAGGUACUUAGAUAACAAUAUCGGUUUUCUUGGGAUAAGACUUUGUCAAUAUCAUAUGAAUUGUUGAUUUAUGGGUUCCGAAGGGCCAGCAGCUGUAACCAUCCAUGUGACUGGUUUUAAGAAAUUUCAUGGAGUUUCCGAGAACCCAACCGAAACCAUUGUUAGUAAUCUAAAAGAGUAUGCAAGAAAGAAAGGUUUACCGAAAGGCGUUAUUCUUGGCAGUUGUAGUGUUCUUGAGACUGCUGGACAAGGAGCUCUCACUCCACUGUAUCAGACAUUUCAAUCUGCCUUAGCAGGAAAGGAUUCUCAAUCUUCAAGUUCUGAGAAAAUUAUUUGGAUGUAGCGAAUAACAGUAAAAUCUCAUUUAAAGUGCCCUCUUGAAUCCACAUUGAAAUUGCAUGUUUGGGAGCAUGUGAUUAGUCGAUCUGAUGAUAAAGCUGAGAUCAGCCAGUUUUUGCUGCCAUCUUCUUUUCCAUCUUAAAUACAUGAAGAAAGCUCAUACGUAAUAACCGGUCCCAAUUUUGAUGCAUUGUUCAUGAGGGGAGUUUGCCAACAGACAGUAUCUUAAUAACUUGUAUUUGAUGCAAUCAACUUAUUGCCUUACAAAUUCAGGCCUAAUGUUUCUUGUCCAUUCUGACGAUAUUUCUUCAGGUGCAUUUCGGAGUCAAUAGUGGUGCAUGAAGAUUUGCUCUUGGGCAUCAAGCUGUAAAUGAAGCUACUUUCUGUUGCCCUGAAGAGAUGGGAUGGAAACCUCGGAUGGUUGAAUUUCACGUGUUCGAAAGACUUCUCAUCCUGUUGAGGAGAUCACAAAGGCAUUAGCAAAGAAGGGAUACGAGGUAAUGACAUUGUAUGAUGCCGGACGGUUUGUGUAAUUAUGUGUACUGCCACUCCCUUCACUUUGCGGAGCAGAAUAGGAUCAAAUCCCUCUUUGUCCAUGUCCCUCUCUUCUUGACCAUAGAUUAGGAGAUCCAAGUGAAAUUCGCUGCCUCCUUGUUGGAGGUACUUGGUUCUCUUUGUUAGUAACAUACUGUACCCAUCUUCAUUUCUGGAACCGACACUGUUGUACUGUUGUGGAUCAUGUUGUGAGGUAUAGAUGCAUGCUUAUUGAUUAAACAGACAAUGAGUUUAUGCGAAUGGAAAGAAAUUGUAUUUCAGCAGAUACAUCUUAUGCAUUUCAUUUGCUUUUCCAAAUACGAAUUACUCUUAUACUUGAAAAUUCGAAUGUAGAAUGU